GAUGAACGCUAGCGGGAGGCUUAACACAUGCAAGUCGAGGGGCAUCACGAGGUAGCAAUACUUUGGUGGCGACCGGCGCACGGGUGAGUAACGCGUAUGCAACCUACCCUGUACAGGGGGAUAGCCCGGAGAAAUUCGGAUUAAUACCCCAUAAUGAUAUUUUAUGGCAUCAUAACAUAUUUAAAGCUCAGGCGGUACGGGAUGGGCAUGCGUAACAUUAGCUAGUUGGUAGGGUAAUGGCCUACCAAGGCGACGAUGUUUAGGGGUCCUGAGAGGGUGAUCCCCCACACUGGUACUGAGACACGGACCAGACUCCUACGGGAGGCAGCAGUGAGGAAUAUUGGUCAAUGGGCGCGAGCCUGAACCAGCCAUCCCGCGUGAAGGAAGACUGCCCUAUGGGUUGUAAACUUCUUUUCCAGGGGAAUAAAAUCUCGAACGAGUUCGGGACUGAAGGUACCCUGGGAAUAAGCAUCGGCUAACUCCGUGCCAGCCGCCGCCGUAAUAC
rnacentral:rRNA from 1 species